GCCUACGAAAUUAUAUAUAUGUAUCUGCACUGGGAAAAUACCCAGCUAUGCUUAAGCAAAAACUACUUCGUGAUCAAUUACUUUUAUUUAAUACUUUUAGUUUAACAGACUUGAAAUAUGGAGGUUCUCGGUUUGACUUCUAUUUCUUUGCGAUUAUAUAGCUCACGUUUUUUUGAACGGAUUUGGAUGCGGUUUUCACAUCGGGUUUUCAGCGCAGUAUUUGACAGAUUUAGAAGGCAAAGGGAAUCUGGCCAUGGUCGCUGGGAAGCAGUGGAUGCGGGUUGCUGAAGAUCGAGAAAAGUGGUGAAACUUGUUGGAGGCUUUUGUCCAGCAGUGGCGUCUUGCGGCUGACACGACGAUGACGAACUUUAAUUUUUUAUAAUAAGGUUUUGACAUAACAGAACUGUAUAUUUUAUCUUUAUUAACAAAAGCCUUAGAAGAUGCUGUAUAAAUUAUAUUCUAACGUUCCCAGAUUAUUAUGGACAUAAUUAUUGGCAUUUACAACACCAGUGUACUUAGUUUGUACACCUGCGUAUUCCAUUCAUGCGGAGCAACAAGUUGCCAUGUUCGGUGCAUAGAACUUACUUGGUAUUUACUUAAUUGUGUCGCAACUAACUAUUGUUUAUGGUCAUCGACGUCAUUAGAAGCGUUCCAGAUAUGGGACAAACGUUUCAUAAUAGCUGGUAAAUGGACUGGAUUAUUAUACAUAGUUCUGGA